rnacentral:rRNA from 1 species
GCACUAAAUGAAACUAGAUACAAGCGAGCGGCGGACGGGUGAGUAACACGUGGGUAACCUGCCCAAGAGGUACUGGGGACGUAACACCUGGAAAACAGAUGCUAAUACCGGAUAACAACACUAGACGCAUGUCUAGAGUUUGAAAGAUGGUUCUGCUAUCACUCUUGGAUGGACCUGCGGUGCAUUAGCUAGUUGGUAAGGUAACGGCUUACCAAGGCUAAUGAUGGCAGUAGCCGAGUUGAGAGACUGAUCGGCCACAUUGGGGACUGAGACACGGCCCAAACUCCUACGGGAGGCAGCAGUAGGGAAUCUUCCACAAUGGACGAAAGUCUGAUGGAGCAACGCCGCGUGAGUGAAGAAGGGUUUCGGCUCGUAAAGCUCUGUUGGUAGUGAAGAAAGAUAGAGGUAGUAACUGGCCUUUUAUUUGACGGUAAUUACUUAGAAAAGUCACGGCUAACUACGUGCCAGCAGCCGCGGUAA